rnacentral:lncRNA from 1 species
GUAAAAUGAUUCAUUGUACUUGAGGAGGAUUGCCACAGCAGGAUGGUUGAAAAAAUGAGUCUUUCAGGUAAAUCACCUAAAUCUGUUGUCUAGCAAGAAAAUGUGAGAAAGUACUCAGAGUCCUUCACUGAGAGCAUGGCCUUCCUUAGCUUUGAUGCUUGCCUCGCCAUCAUCUUCCAGGACCUAUAAUUCUACGGCCUGGCCCUGUCCUCAUUAACUCACUCCAGCUGCCAGCACUCUUCCUGUUUGUUUUACAUCUUUGAAGACUUCCCUGAUUACACUCCUGGGCCCAAUAGUCUUCAUCGUCAUUGCCCAUCUUCAUCAUCAUCAUCAUCAUCAUCACCAUCAUCAUCAUCAUCAUCAUCAU